UACGUAGGGACCAAGCGUUGUUCGGAUUUACUGGGCGUAAAGGGCGCGUAGGCGGCGUGACAAGUCACUUGUGAAAUCUCCGGGCUUAACUCGGAACGGCCAAGUGAUACUGUCGUGCUAGAGUGCAGAAGGGGCAAUCGGAAUUCUUGGUGUAGCGGUGAAAUGCGUAGAUAUCAAGAGGAACACCUGAGGUGAAGACGGGUUGCUGGGCUGACACUGACGCUGACAGCGCGAAAGCUAGGAGAGCAAACGGG
rnacentral:rRNA from 1 species